GACGUACGCUGGCGGCGUGCUUAACACAUGCACGUCGAACGGAAAGGCCCUGCUUUUGUGGGGUGCUCGAGUGGCGAACGGGUGAGUAACACGUGCGUAACCUGCCCUUGACUUUGGGAUAACUUCAGGAAACUGGGGCUAAUACCGGAUAGGAGCUCCUGCUGCAUGGUGGGGGUUGGAAAGUUUCGGCGGUUGGGGAUGGACUCGCGGCUUAUCAGCUUGUUGGUGGGGUAGUGGCUUACCAAGGCUUUGACGGGUAGCCGGCCUGAGAGGGUGACCGGCCACAUUGGGACUGAGAUACGGCCCAGACUCCUACGGGAGGCAGCAGUGGGGAAUAUUGCACAAUGGGCGGAAGCCUGAUGCAGCAACGCCGCGUGCGGGAUGACGGCCUUCGGGUUGUAAACCGCUUUCGCCUGUGACGAAGCGUGAGUGACGGUAAUGGGUAAAGAAGCACCGGCUAACUACGUG
rnacentral:rRNA from 1 species